CGAAUUGAAAAACACAAAUUCAUCUUCUUCGAAACCAAGCAUCAAUUGGUUGUGAAUUGGAUCCUUCUGCUGUGACUGCUUGUGACUGCAGGUGCUAAAUGAGAUAAGUGCUACUUUACCAAAUCUCCCUGCUAUUUCUUCACUAGUGCUUCUAAGGUUGCUUUGGAGUGUUAACCUUUCUUGGUGUUUUUAUUGCGGUAUUCCUUUUUCACCAAAUUUGCUUAUUCUAUCUGUGAAAAUGGCUUGAUCUCAAAUUGGGCUUUUGUGGCUUGCACGUUUGCAGUGAUAUUGAUAUUAAGGUUUGUAAUUUCUUGCGGAAAGUUACAAACCCAUGUUUAGUUUUUUACUUUGGAAUCAGUUUGAAUAGCAAAAUGUCUCUAUUUUUUCUCACCUAGAAAAUUGAAGAUUAUGUAUCUUACUUUUAUUUCAAAACUUUUUUUUUUCCUCUUUUAUGUUCUGUAUUUCGAAACCAUUGCUAUGUCUAUUAUAAAAGUUUUAUGUAUUGUGCAACAUUCAGCGUCGCCCGAUUAAUUGAGAGACUGUCCCGCUUGUAGGACCAAACAAUUUUAUAUAAGAAAGCUAAAAGUUUUUGAACAGCUCUAGUUACUGGUUGUUAUUACCAUAUUUUCGUUAAUUGGUUGGAGAAAUUUUUGAAUUCGAAUAUGCAAAUUCAAAGUAUUGGUAGCUACUGAAAAAACAUUUCACCAAUCUGUCUACUGGUUUAUCUGUGAGCUAUUAAAUUGUAAUGAACUUGAAACUUUUUCCUGUGUACCUGCAGGAGCAGUAUGGGUAUUACUGAGGCAUUGCGGUUGCAGGUAGAACUCCAAAAUCGGCUUCAUGAACAACUUGAGGAGAAGACUUCCUUGUACCUUCCUUGAA